UAGCAGGGACCUUGCACGCGACGCCAUCUGGGAGCCAGUCGAUGGAGCACGGCGUUCGUUGACUCAGCAGCGAUUCGUCUGUUUUGACGUCAGGACUGCA
rnacentral:lncRNA from 1 species